GAUGAAGAACGUAGCGAAAUGCGAUAAGUAGUGUGAAUUGCAGAAUUCCGUGAAUCAUCGAAUCUUUGAACGCACAUUGCGCCUUCUGGUAUUCCGGAAGGCAUGCCUGUUCGAGAGUCAUUAACAACCGUUUCGAUCCCUUUCUUUCAGAAAUUACAAAGAGGAAAAGGGUUUGGUUAUGGUGGAGGAGGGAAAGGGAGCGUUUAGCCUGUAAAAAAAGAGGCUGUGUUCCGCCUCCCCCCCAAAAUUGUACAGGCGGUCGUGUGCGCCCACGCAUCGAGGUGUUGUAAAAGCUGCCACGGCACUUUUCACCUGUGCAGUGCGAGAUUGGCCAGCCGGUUUAAAGGCCCCUCCAAACAAUCAAAGGUUGACCUCGGAUCAGGUAGGGAUACCCGCUGAACUUAAGCAUAUCAAUAAGCGGAGGA
rnacentral:misc_RNA from 1 species